rnacentral:rRNA from 1 species
UACGGAGGGAGCUAGCGUUAUUCGGAAUUACUGGGCGUAAAGCGCACGUAGGCGGCUUUGUAAGUAAGAGGUGAAAGCCCAGAGCUCAACUCUGGAAUUGCCUUUUAGACUGCAUCGCUUGAAUCAUGGAGAGGUCAGUGGAAUUCCGAGUGUAGAGGUGAAAUUCGUAGAUAUUCGGAAGAACACCAGUGGCGAAGGCGGCUGACUGGACAUGUAUUGACGCUGAGGUGCGAAAGCGUGGGGAGCAAACAGGAUUAGAA